rnacentral:tRNA from 1 species
GCCCAUGUAGCUCAGAGGUAGAGCACUCCCUUGGUAAGGGAGAGGUCCGCGGUUCAAAUCCGCGCAUGGGCU